rnacentral:lncRNA from 1 species
UUAAAUUUUUCGCACAACACUUUCACAUGAAGAAUUCCUGAAAGUAUUGGUGUUAUGAGAUCAUUGGAGUCUGUUGAUUUUUCUGUAAACCAAAUUUCGGGUAAAAUUCCACGGAGCAUGUCAAAUUUGAUGUCCUUGAAUUAUUUGAACUUGUCCAACAACAAGUUGACUGGGAAAAUUCCUUCAAGCACUCAACUCUAGAGCUUCGAUGCAUCUAGUUUCGCUGGCAAUGAUUGUUGAAGUCAAACAAAUUGUUGGUUGCAACCAACAAUUGUAAGGUAGCAAAAUCAAAUUGAAUUUGAUUUUGCAGCCAAAAAGAAAGAAUGGACAAAGGGGAUGAAGCAAAAAUGUUUGAAUGGAGAAAGGGGAUGAAGCAAAAAUGUUUGAAUGGAGAAAGGGGAUGAAGCCAAAAUGUUUGAAAAAUAAUAAUAAUUAAAUAUUAUAUUUUCAAUUAUUUUAUUCUUUGCAUAGUAACUUAUUUCUCUUAUAAAUAGCUAGGGAUUUCAUUCAUCCCAAAAAUUUGUUAUGCUUAUAAGUUUCUAAGCUUUUGAGAGUUCUGAGAGUGUGAACAAUUGGAGAGUGUGUGUGAGAGUACUGGGUGUAUUUGGGUUCUGGGAAAGUGAGAUUUCUUUAUUCAAAUAUUUGUACUCUAUUAAUUGUUAAUAAUACAAUUAAUUUUCUCUUGCUCCCGCGGACGUAGGCAUAUUGCCGAACCACGUAAAUUUUGUGUCUUUUAUUUUUCUAUAAUUAUUUGGUGCGCUUGAUUCCGCAUUCCGCACAUAACAAGUGGUAUCAGAGCCGACAAUUUGUACUUGGAGGGAUAUGUUACUGUUCACGUUUACGAUACUAUUUCUAUAUACGGUAUUGUUUCACAUAUGGUAUUGUUCACGAAUACGAUGGAGACGACCAUUUGUACUUGGGAGACAUUAUAUUGUAAGUAGUGUGUAUUUUUAUAUGUCUAGGAAAGUUCUGUCAAUAAGGCGAUAAGAGUAUAAGGAUUCUGGUUUUUAACUGGGACCAAGUUCCCGUCAAGUCUCCUGAAAAAUUUCCUGGUGCAUUUAUUCACGCGAAAUUAACAUCAUAGAGGCUGUUUUUCAAGUGGAAAUAGUUCGUUGAGAAAAUGUAGAAGGUGAAACUUCCAAAAUUUGGGAGAGAUCUACCGAGACUAUUUCAGAAGACACUUUAGGUGGGAUGCGAGAUUUGUCAAAUCGUUAUUCAACACCUAUUAUAUAAGGCCAGAAGAUUAAUGUUGAAAAGUUUGAUAGGAAAAUCAACUUCGACAUGUGGAGGCGCGAAGUUAUGGAUGCCCUUAUUUAAAUCGAUCUCGAUGUGGUUCUGAAAAAUAAAAGACACUUGUAUGAUGAAGAAAUUUGGGAUCGUGUGAACGAGAAAGCUUGUGGUCAGAUCAGAUCUUGUUUGAUCAAGGAGGUGAAAUACUUGGUGAAAGAUGAUGAGUGUGCGAUGACUUUAUAAUGUACAUUGGAGGAGAAGUACUUGCUGAAAAGUCCUGAAAAUCGUCUUCAUGCAAUGAGGUAAGUAUAUGGCUUUCGAAUGAAGUCUGGGGUGUUAAUGCAUUAUAAUGUCUCAAGAUUUGAAAAGUUACUUGCUGAUUUGAAGAAUCUUGAUGAAAAUAUUAAGGAUGAAGUCAAGGCUAUAAUUCUGUUACACUCACUACUAGAGGAAUAUAGCCAUUUUGUGACUACCUUGAUAUAUGGGAAGAGUGUGAUUGUCUUCAAAGAUGUUUGCACAUCAUUGACUAACUUGGAGAUUCGAAAUAAUGAUAAAAAUUCUGAACGAGCAUCGUUUGAAGCUUUGGUGAGCAAAGAUUAGGCGAUGGAGAAAAAGAAGAAGCGUGGUGGAAAGAAUUCUCGAUCCAAAUCGAGAAGCAGAAAUAUAACUCGAGACGAGUGUGCCUCUUUCAUGAAAAGAGCCAUUAGAGAAAAGAUUGUCCAAGAGCUCAAAAGAGAGAUGUGAAGAAACCAGUAGUAGCAAACAUGGCACAGAAAGAUGAAGACUCUGAUUAUUCACUAAGUAUUACUUCUGCAGCAUACGUGUCUAGUUCGAGCAAGUGGAUACUUGAUACUAGAGCAACCUAUCAUUUGUGUCCUAUUAAAGAAUGGUUUACGGAUUUUCGUAAUCUGGAAUCUGGUGCAGUUGUGAUGGGGAAUAAUCAAUCUUGUCGUACAAUGGGGAUAGGAACAAUUCAGCUCAAAAUGUUUGAUGGAAUGAUAAGAGAACUCAAAGAGGUUAGAUUUGUUCCAGCUUUAAAGAAAAAUCUAAUUUCUAUGGGUGCUUUGGAAGCUAAAGGCUACAAGGUUACCAUUGAAGAUGACAUAAUGAAGUUUACACAUGGGGCUAUGGUGAUUCUACAAGGGGUUCGGCGUCACAAUUUGUACUAUUUGAAGGGAGGUACAACUGAUGAAGCAAAUGUUACUGAGGCGCACAGUGACACCACCAAGCUACGACAUGUACGACUGGGACAUACUGGAGAGAAGUAUUUGCAAACUCUGAUGAGGCAUUGACUCUUAAAAGGUACCAAAACCUAUAAAUUAAAUUUCUGUGAGCAUUGUGUAGUAGGCAAGAAAACAAGGGUCAAGUUUGGUAUGGCUAAUCACGAUACUCGUGAGAUCCUUGAAUAUGUUCACAGUGAUGUAUGGGGACCAACCAAGACUACAUCAAUUGGUGGAAUCCAUUAUUUUGUUACAUUUGUUGAUGAUUUCUCUAGACGUGUGUGAGUGUACACCAUGCGAGCAAAUGAUGAUGUUCUAGAGAUUUUUGUGAAAUGGAAGAAAUUGGUGGAGACUCAAACUGGUAGAAAGAUCAAAGUAUUACGAUAUGAUAAUGGGGGUGAAUAUACUUCUGAUCCAUUCUUGCAAAUAUGCCAGAACGAGGGUAUUAAAAGACAUUUCACGGUGAGACAUACUCCGCAACAAAACGGUGUGGCUGAGCAUAUGAAUCGUACUUUGCUAGAGAAAGUAUAGUGUAUGUUAUCUAAUGCUGGUUUAAAUAACAAGUUUUGGGCUGAUGCUGUGAGCUACGCAAGUCACUUGGUAAACCGGUUGCCUUCUACUGCAAUUGGAGAUAAAACUCCUAUGGAAAUGUGGUCUAGAAAGCAUGCACAAGAUUAUGAUGCCCUUCGUAUAUUCGAGUGUCCAGGUUAUUAUCAUGUCAAAGAUGGUAAACUAGAUGCUCGUGCUAGAAAAGCUAUCUUUGUGGAAUUCAAAGGUAGUGUAAAAUGACUUAAGCUUUGGGAUCUCGAAGAUAAAAAGUUUGUGUGUAGCAGAGAUAUCAUGUUUGAUGACGCUUCAAUGAUGAAAGCUUCAAGUUCUCAACAGGUGGAGAACAAGACCACAGAGGUAUUACAGCGGGUGGAGUUUGAUGAAACUCCAUAUGUACCAGUUAGUUCUACAUCAGAAAAUGAUUCAACUAUGGAGGUGACACUUAGAGUCUGAUGUCCCACAAAAUGAAGAAACAAUUGAUGAUAUGGAUAAUGAUGAUUCUAUAGCAACAAGGAGGCCAAGAAGAGAGAUAAAGAAAUCCGGAUGGCUUACUAAAGACAUGGUGGUAGCCUAUGCACUUCCAGUUAUUGAUGAUGACAUCCCCAACACUUUCAGUAAAGCAUUACGCAGCAGUGAAAGUGAUAAAUGGAAGUUAGCCAUCGAAGAAGAGAUGAAAUCUCUCCAUCAAAACCAGACUUGGGAACUUGUGGAGUUACCAAAGGGGAAAAGGGCUAUUGGCAAUAAAUGAGUCUACACCAAAAAGCAAGGAUCUCCAAAUCAAUCAACUUCUCGAUACAAGGCAAGGCUCGUUGCAAAAGGUUUUGCUAAGAAGGAAGCUAUUGGCUACAAUGAAGUUUUCUCUCCAGUUGUAAAACAUAAUUCCAUUCGUAUCCUACUUGCCUUAGUUGCAGAAUAUGAGUUAGAGUUGGCUCAAUUAGAUGUUAAGAUGGCAUUCUUACAUGGAGAUUUGGAGGAGGAAAUCUAUAUAACUCAGUCUUGUGGUUUUAAAGUUGAUGUAAUAGAGAAUCGUGUGUGCAGAUUGAUUAAAUCUUUAUACAAAUUGAAACUAAUUCUUUGAAUGCAUUGAGUUUGGAGAAUUAUGAACUACGAUUGGCUUGAUCCCAUAUUUUGGGUACGUAGGUAGUCGAAGUGACACAACCAUUUUGGAUCCUUAUUGAAGGAUCACCGUAGGGAUGAUGAUCCGUCGAUAGUCAGCUCAGAUUUGGCAAAUUUUCGCCGAGGUGGAGAUUUUUUGAAGUCAAACAAAUUGUUAGUUACAACCAACAAUUGUAAGGAAGCAAAAUCAAAUUGAAUUUGAUUUGCAGCCGAAAAGAAAGAAUGGACAAAGGGGAUGAAGCCAAAAUGUUUGAAUUAUAUUUUCAAUUAUUUUAUUCUUUGCAUAGUAACUUAUUUCUCCUAUAAAUAGCUAAGGAUUUCAUUCAUUUCAUUCAUCUCAAAAAUUUGUUAUGCUUAUAAGUUUCUAAACUUUUGAGAGUUCUGAGAGUGAGCAAUUGGAGAGUAUAUGUGAGAGUACUGGGUGUAUUUGGGUUCUAGGAAAGUGAGAUUUCUUUAUUCAAAUAUUUGUACUCUUUUAAUUGUUAAUAAUAUAAUUAUUUUUCUCUUGCUCCCGUGGACGUAGGCAUAUUGCCAAACCACGUAAAUUUUGUGUCCUUUAUUUUUCUAUAAUUAUUUGGUGCGCUUGAUUCCGUAUUCCGCGCACAACAAUGAUCUCUGUGGAGCUCCUCUUCCAAAAAAUUGUACUGAAAAUGUUUCAAAUUCAGAAGAUGAAAAUGGAGAUGAAGACGAAGAUGAAUUGGACCAUUGGUUUUAUGUAAGCAUUGCACUUGGCUUUGUGGCGGGAAUUUGGUGUUUUAUAGGCCCUUUGAUUUUCAAUAGAAGAUGGAGGUACAAAUAUUGUCAUUUCCUAAAUCGUCUUGAGGAGAGAGUUGUUGAUGUUGUAAGAAAACGUGGCUAGAUUUUCUCUGUUUUUGAGUUGUUCUGCUUUUUCAUGUACUGUGCUCACUGAAAGGAAUAGAAUAUUACUUAAAAUAAACGAAUGGCCUUUUAUUUGUUUUGUUCCUGAAAGCAAAAAUUAAUGCGAAAUAAUUUUUAAAUAAGGCGAAUGAUAUUCAUAUUAAAAAUCAUACGAGACUUUCCAACUCAACAAAAUUAGUACUGAUAAAUCAAAAUUGAAAAAGUAUAUUUUAUGGACACUUCACCAUCUAUAGGAUCAACAAUUUUUAUAUUAAAAAAGAUUAUAAAUCACAACAUUGGUAUCAAAAUGUUAAGAUCUUGAAAAAGUAAAUGGAAAAGAUUCUUAGAUUAACAAGCAACACUGCAACAGGGGAGGGGGCUCAACUAUUCUCUAUUAUGCAAUUUUGACCAGUAGUACUUCUCUCUUCUUUUACAUUUUAGGGUUAUUAUCAUUUUACUACUUCAGGAAUUGCCAAAUAUCAAAUGACUACAACAAUCGUUGUCUCCUAUUAUUUUACUACUAUAUCUUUAUAAAAAUAUCAUUUUACUACUUUUCCGUUAUAACUGUUAGUUGACCAGUUAGUUGACUAUCAAAAUACCAAUUUCACCCUUCAUGAUUAAAAAAAAAUAUUUGAAGCUUAUUUACAAAAUAAAUUUGUAAUAUAUUUAUUAAAAUAGAUAUAAAAUACCAACAUAUUUUUUUUGCUAGAAUUAUUAUAUAUGAAUUACAAAAUUUAUCUUAUUAUUAUUUUUAAUCAUGAAGGGUAAAAUUAGUAUUUUGUUAGUCAACUACCGGUCAACUAACAGUUAUAACGGAAAAGUAGUAAAAUGAUAUUUUUAUAAAGAUAUAGUAGUAAAAUGAUAGGAGACAAUAACUGUUGUAGUCAUUUGAUAUUUGGCAAUUUCUGAAGUAGUAAAAUGAUAAUAACCCUACAUUUUAUAUAUGGAAUAUUUUCAAUGCAACAUUGAGAUUCACAACUAUCCAUGUAAAUACUAAUUACAGCAAAACUCUCCUCCUUUAAAUUUGAAAAAAGAAAACUUAGGUGGCGUUUGUUUUUUUGUCUAAAAUCUGAAUAGACCUGAAUUAGUCUGAAUUCUGAAUAGAUCUGAAUGUCUGAAUCUAAAUAACAUGUUUUUUUUUUUCGUCUGAAUCUCGAAAAAUAAGUAUUAAGUUGUUUGUUUUUUUCAACUGAAAAAGCUGAAAAUAUGUACUUUUACUUUUGUAUCCUUAUUAAAUUUGAAAGUCAAAUAAAUAAUAUAUUAAAUACCACAAUAUUUUAACAUUUAUAAGUAAAACUAUAUUCAAGUGAAUACAUAAUUAUUUUGGAAUUUAUAUAUAUAAAAUACCAUAAAUUUUAAAUUUUAUCGUAUAUAAUAUAAGAAAGAAAAAAUAAUGAUAUUUUUAUAUGGGAAAAAUGUCUAUGGGUGAGUUUUGGGAUAGACAUGAAAAAUAAAUUAUAAAACAUGGAUAUUUUUGACAUUAGUAAGUAAUUGACUUAAUUCAAAUUUCUCCAUUAAGUAAAAAGCUAAAAAAAUUGGCUUAUUUUAUUAAGUCAAAAUUAUCUAAAAAGUCUCAUUAAGUUAUAAAAACAAACACCUCUAAUUAACUUAAUUAAUUAAGUUAAGUCACUUUAAGUCAUUAAGUUAAAAAACAAACGCCACCUUAGUCUUGGUUUAUUUCAUUAAAUAGAGUUAGUUAACGAUGUGUCACGAGAUAUAUAGAUAUUAGUCCAUAUAAUAUAAUAAUCGAUUGAGUUAAAGUCGUCAAAUCUGAAUAUUGUUAUCUUCUGACUUAAAAAGUCGUUUGCGUGGAAAGGACGUAAAUCCUAAUCCAAUUAACAGUAGGAUGAUGUUGAGUUGGAGUAUGCGAACGAACUAUAAGGUCACAAUUUAAGAUAAUUAUUUUGAAAGAGAGAAAUGGCCCUAUAAAUAGCAAUGUUGUUGAUAACACAAAUUCAAAUAAACAUUUACUCUUUAUUAAACCAAACAUGAGUGGUGUCCUUGUUUUUGCCUCACUUCUUGAAUUACUUGUCGUUAGCAUGAGUGGACAAAUUGAUGCGUGAUUUUAACGUAAAUAUAUACAAGGAUCACCGAUGAUUGACUUAAGUGAUUGUAAAUGGCAUCUGUGUGACUGUGUCCUUUACAUGUCCUCUUCAAUUGACUUAAAGUCGCUUCGCUAAGUAGGAGGUUACUUUGUGUCAUGUGCAAAUUGGAUUAUGCAGAAAACUGAGUUUCUAGUUACUUUUUCCAAUAAAAAGCCCCAAACGGAUGCUGAAUUGCUGAAAGAUAAGUUGAGAUUGUUCAUUAGAUCAAGGACAUUUUCCUUGUUAACAAAAUUAAUAAACGAACAUAUAAAAAUGAAGUAAUUAUCCAUAAGUACUGCUACAACAAAUAACUCUAAUGCAUAGACUAUAGAUUCCAUUUUGUCGGUGGCGGACUAAGGUUAAAAAUAAAGAAAUUCAUAAGGGUAUUAAUUGAAAUUUAAUCUAUUUCUUAAAAUAUUACAUCAUCAUUAUCCAUUAUUUACAAAAUUUUGAUUAUUGCCUCCAUAAGUUCGUAGUUCUUUUUUGGGCAUGUUUCAACCAAAAUACCGGUUUUGAAUUUAGAAUGCGAAACUCUCCGCAAAAUUUUUACUUUGAGACGUCAUAACACAGUUUUCUCAAAGUAAUUGACAUUUAAUUACGAACAAAAUAUCACCAUCGAUAUCGAUCCCAAUUAAAUUCUUCAAGUUCCUUCCAGUCUUGGUUAUUUUUAUUAAAUGGAGUUAGUAAGAUAGUCAUGAGAUAUUUCAUUAUCUACAACGAUCAUCGACUUGUGACAUUACCAAAUUAAAUAGUAUCUAUAUAUCGUCCUAUAUAAUGAAUAGACUUGAAGUCGUUUCCUCAUAAAGGGGGUUAGAACUGGAUUAUGCGGAAGAUUUAAUUAUAUGGCCUAUCGCUACUUUUUCCAAAUUAGAUUCCUGGCCCACUUUACUGAUUAUAUCAAAUGGAUGCUGAGUUUCUGAAACAUAAUCCAAGAGAGUAUCGGUCUUGUUAAUUGCAAUUCAUUAUAAAUAGCAAAGGUGUUGAUAACAUUAUCCUCAUCCACAUUUCCUUGACUAGCUAGCAAUGAAACCAAACAUGAGUGGUGUCCUUGCUUUUGCCUUAUUUCUGUUUGAAAUACUUGCCAUAGCAACCAUUAGCAUUAGCUUCUGCAGCGGAAGUUCUUAUCAUGGGGGUUGCCUUGAAAGUAAGAGAGGAGCACUUUUAAGGUUCAAGCGAGAUCUUAAAGACCCUUCCAAGACGAAAACAUUUUGGGCCAACUUAAUCCUCCAAUUGAUUAGAGAGACAACCAAUCUCAACAUGAUUAAAAUCAACCAAGAACUUUAAAAGAUUACAUGAAUCCAACAAGAACUGGAGCACCAUCGUGUAUAGUAUUUCCUCUAAAAGCAUCUCAAUUCAACUUCAAACCAGGUAUUAUCUAACUUUUACCGACAUUUUAUGAUUUAAAAUCUGAGAAUCCGUACGUGCAUCUAAGAGAUUUUGAGGAAGUUUGUAAUACAUACAUGGACCAAAAUUGUAGCAUGAACAUAAUUAGAUUAUAAUUUUUUCCUUUUUCAUUAAAAGAUAAAGCUAAAACUUGACUAUAAAACCUUAGAUCAUGUUAAAUUAGAAAAAAUAUCAUUACAUGGUUACUUCUGGAAUUGUUUUGGGUCAUGUUGUAUCUAUUAAAGAAUUGAAGUUGACAAAGCAAAAGUUAAAGUCAUAUCUAAAUUGCCAUAACAAAAAAUAGUUAUAGAUGUGCGAUCUUUUUCAGAACAUACAUGAUUUUUUAGAAGGUUUAUAGAAAACUUUAGUGUCAAAUUGAUAACUCUAGGAAAUGAGAGUUAUUACAUCAAUUCUAGACUUGAAUCAAGACUACUUGAGAACAAAUAAGGUGUUUUUAUUAUAUUUUGGUUACCUUUUGCAUAAACUUUCAUUUUAGUUGAGUCUUAAUAAGUUUUGCUUGAAUCAAAGUAAUUUGUACUAAAAACAGGUGUAUAAUUGUAGGUUUUAAAGUCAUGAGGGGAUGUUGAGGCAUUAGAAGAGCGAGAGGAGGAAAGAAGAUGGCCACAAAAGAAGUAAAGCACAAUCGGAAAUAAGGCAGUGUUGUAGCUGAUGUUAGAGCAACCAGUGCUGUAGCAAUCUGGGAGCAAUGCGAGAGAAAACUUAGGCACGAGUUAGCCAUAAAAACGCGAUCUGCAUGUUUCCUAAUUUAAACGCAUGCACGCUCAUGGGCUUUGGUUUACCCUAAUUUGCAAUAUAAAAAAGGAGGCGUGCACCAUAUAAAAGGCGGCGAAGGGAUAAUCAUCAGAAUAAUUACAAAGGAAAGAAGAAGAAGAUCAGAUUGAGAGAGUGUUGUUUCAGUAACAUUGAAGACUCGUGCAGAAUUAUUUGUCUUUCAUCGUGCUCAACUUAUAUUUCUCGUCUUCAUUUAAUUGUUUUGAUGUAUUCAUUGAUCAAUAUAUUUAUGUUUACUUUUCUCAUUCAGAGUAUGAACUAAAUUUACUUGUAGUUGAGUGACAAAGAAUCCAAUGGGUUCUUGACUGUUCUUAUAUGUUGUUAUGGCAUUGUUGUAGCAUUAUACUCUAGUAGUUUUUAUGAAUAUAACUGUUAUUUCGGUUGACCACCCAUUUAAUAGUUUCAGUUAAGAUAGAGCAGCAAAAGAGCAUGUCUUAGCGGAUGUUAUUAGAGUAUUACUUGAUCUUAAGUCGAGUUUCCUGGAUUAAGUUAUCUUAAAUCCCAUAAGGGCAAUACUUGAAGUUAAGAUUUGUGACACACUAGACAUAGAUGUUCACCUUGUAGGGUGGAAAGACUAAAGACCAUAAUGACAUACUAUAAGUAGAUUAGCAACUGGUCAUUGUUAAUAGAUUUAAGGGUAUGAGACUUCCAAUAUGCGGCAGCUGAGGAUGCAGAUAAACUCUGUCCAGUGCUGCAGCACUGGUCGUAACAACUGGUACUAAUUUGAUGAAAAAACAGUCAACCCCAAAGGAAAAUUUGAUCAUUCAACUACAUUAAUUUCAAUUGAAUCUUGGACACACUUAACCUAGUUAUUUCAUUACGAUAUUGUUUUAUUUAAUUCUUAUCUCAAUCAUUGAUUACAAUAGACAUUACUUGACAAUUGUUUGCUUCGGGUUUAAGUUGAGUUGCGCUAUUGUGAGUGCUGUAGCAUUUCGAGUAACAUUAAUCCAUGUGGAGACGAUCAUGAAUACUUAUCACUUUAUUACUUGUUGUGCAUACUUGCACAUUGGCAUUGAUAGUAAUUGCUUAUAAAAUUUACCAACACAUAUCUAAACCACUUUGUAACCUCUUAUUAAAAGAUGCACCAUUUGAAUGAACUGAUGAUUGCCAAAAAUCUUUUGAGAAAAUAAUUUGUCUUUUAACAUCAGCACCCAUUAUGCAAUCUUCUGAUUGGUCUCUUCCUUUUGAAUUCAUGUGUGAUGCAAGUGAUUUUGUUGUUGGUGUUGUUUUUGGACAAAGAAUGGAUGGUAAGUCGUUUGUGAUUUAUUAUGUGAGUAAGACCUUGGAUGGUACCCGAAUGAAUUAUUUGACAACUAAAAAAGAAUUACUUGCAGUGGUGUUUGUAUUAAACAAAUUUCGUUCAUAUUUGCUUGGUUCUAAAACUAUUGUUUUUACUGACCAUGCUGCUGUGAGAUAUUUGAUGACUAAACAGGAUGUCACAACCAAGACUAAUUCGAUCGAUUUUGUUACUUCAAGAAUUUGACCUUACCAUCAUUGAUAAAAAAGGUGCCGAAAAUGUCGUUGCUAAUCAUUUAUCAAAACUCACAUUCGAAUUCUGCACUGACGUAACACCCAUCAAUGACUCCUUCCUAGAAGAAUUUUUAUUUUCUGUUACUUUAAUGCUAUGAUAUGCUAACAUUAUUAAUUUCUUUGUUACAGGUAAAAUGCCUUUGCAAUAGAAUACUCAAGAGAAGAAGAAAUUUUUAGUUGAAGUAAAGAAAUUUUAUUAGGAUGAUAUUUCACACAGGUGGUAUUUCACACAUGUAGUAUUUUAUGUAUUUUAUUUAGUCUUUAAUAUGGCAUACCUAGCAGAUGUUAUAUAAUUGUGUUUGAGAAUUUUAUUUUAAAAUGAUUUUAUCUUUUUAUUGAAAAUUUUUUAUUUUAUUUUUAGUGAAUUAUACAGUAAAUUAUUGACAAUUUAACAAAAAAUAUUUCAAAUAAUUGUUCAAAAAAUAAUAAAAUAAAUUAUUAUUUAAAUAAUAAAAAUGAAAUCGAUUAUUGCGUCAAAUGAUAUGGGUUCUCACGGCUAAACUAAUCAAAGUUAAAAAACGUGUCACUCCCAAACGAAUACCUUCGCAUGGAGGUCGCCCGGUGGGGCAACGCGCAAAUUGGAUUAGUGACUGAGAUUCUCGUUGCUCCUUUCCAAAUUAAAAUUUUCAAACGGAUGCUAAAUUGUUGAAUAAGACACCAAAUUCUAUUUCCACCUGUCGUUGUAAUGAUAUUAUAUCUUUGCUGCAUGUGUCACACUCUCACAUCCGUACAAGAAAUAUAAUAAAUAAAUAAUAUGAGAUAACGGAUGGUAAUAAUAUAGCAUGCCACCUCAGGUAUGUACCUCAGAAAUAUAAUUUAAAAAUAAAAAUAUAUAAAAACCCCUUUAAUUUAGGUUAAUUUAAAAUGUAUAAGGAAUAUUUCAAAUUUGAUAAAAGGUUUAAAAUGUAUAAGAAAUAUUAACGUUUAUGUGCAUAUAAAAUUUUUAAAAUUAACAUGAAGUUUCCCUUAGUAAUUAAUUUUAAACACUUAAAAAUUAACAUGAAAUUUUACUUAAGUAGUAAUUAAAAUUUUAAACACUUUAUUUGAGAAUAAAAUCAUAAAUUAAAAUUAAUGAAUUGCACUUGAUAGUCUCAACUUACCCGAGCGGUUCGGCAUUCAUUUGAAAUUGUUAAUAUACUAUGGACUUCCUUGUUAUCUCCUAGUUAUGGAAGUGACUAAUGUAGCAUUUAUUUUUUUGUUUGAAAUUUAAAUAAACUUGAAUUAGUCACUAUUUUAAAUAGUGUUGAAUCUAAAUCAUAUUUUUUUUGUUUGAAUUACCAAAAAUAAGUAAUAAUUUAUUCUUUCUUUUAACUUAAAAAUAUGAAAAUCAGUAUUUCUACAUUUGUGCUCAUAGAAAUUAAAAAUAUUAAAUAAAUAAUAAAUAUUUCAAAGAAAAUAAAUAAAAUAAUAUGUUAUCAUAACAUAUGGUUAUUGCGAUCUUAAUAAAAGAUUUACUUUUUCUAUCCGUCGGUGUAGGCCAAUGACCGAACCAUAUUAAUUCUCCGUGUUUUUCUUAUUAUAUAACCUUAGCUAAACUAGUUCUCUAGUUGACCGCAUUUCUACAUCUAACAAUUCUUGUGAUGUAUAGGCAGCUGAAACAAUUUUUUGCGUUUUAAAACCUUUCUGACUGUAUAUCAUCAUUUUUUUUUUACGCACACCAGGAUUUGUGACGGCUAUACGGCCAAUCUCCGAUGCAAUAAAUAAAUAAAUAAUAAACGAUGUCUAUUUCCACCGCAUAUGACUAUUACGCCAACGUUAUGGAAGUUCCUCACAAAUUUACGAAAAUGACCCUUUAUCUAAUAUUUUGAUAUUUUGUAAUUCUAUCCUCAUCAACAUUUUUAUAUUAAUUAAAAUUUUUAACGAACAUCAGUUGUAAGGUCCACAUCACAAUGACACAUCAUUAGAUACGUGACUACACGCACUAUGACACAUCAAGAUCACAAUGUUUUUAAUUAAGUUCAGUCUUAUUACAAAUGCACAACUGUCUGUCUACUAGUCCUUUUAUGUUUGGGAGCUAGAGUAAGUGUAGGAUUAGAUUAAUUUUCUAGACAAAAUAUUUAUUCCAUGUUUGACGGGCUCGCUUAAAUUUGAUUAAGAGGAUUAAAUUCAAAUUUACUUUUACAAUCAUAGGAUUAGUUAUCAUAAUUUUCACAUGGGUUUAAGGAGAAUUAGAGAAAGCAAUGUUUGUCCCUUUAUGACAAUCUGUUUGUUUAUUAAUGAGUUGUUAUCUAUUUAAUUAAUUAUUUAUUUUUAUUCAUGAUUUCUUAAAAAUUAAGUAUUUAUUUUUUAUUCUACCCAUGUCAUCUUUUAUCAUUUAUUUAUUUAAUGUUAAAAGUAAUGCAUUAACAAAAUUACUUUUUAGAAACAUGCCAUUUAUCAUUUGAUUAUUAUACAAAUAUUUUUAAAAUAUUUGAUAAAUAAUUAAUUUUAUAUUUAACUAUUUUAGUUAUAUUUUUUUAAUAGGCAAUAAUAUGCAUCAUAUAUAAAAGCAUAUAAUUUUCAUAAUUUUAGUUGUUCUUGUUAAAAACCAUUUAAUUUCACUUAAAUUUAAUUUAACAUAGUGUAAUUAAAUAUUAUACUAAAUAUAAGAUUGUACUACAUAUAAAAAAUACAAUGUAAUCCAAUUCAAUUUAAUCUAAUUGAAUUUUAAGUCUAUUUAAUCAUGCUUACUAAACGUAGCCUAACCUAUAACUAAAUCAUACAGUAUAUGAUUGAUUGAUAAUGAAAGAGUAAUCGCUGGCAGACUUAUGUUGUGGCUUGAGUCCAUUUCUUUGGAAAUAUUACAUCCAAUUUGGCCCUGCCAAUCGACCAGAUAGUUCAAAUUGACAAAAUGUCAAAAUCAAUACCAAUAAUUAAUUUGAGAUCUGGAAAGAAUGUUGAUAUCCCAGUUGAUGUGACCAACAAUUGGAUGGAAUGCAAUUCAGCACAAAAACCACUUCAAAAUGGAAGCAUGUUACAACAAACUACCCAUCAAGACACUGAUUACAUGGGCCAAGCUACAGCAACUGCAGAAGAAAUUCAACCAGAACAUGCUGAAAAAGAAGUUGCAACACCAAUAACCACUUCCUAUACCAAACUAAACAAACAAAGUUUGGUAUCCCCUGAAUCUAACCAGCAGUUUAGACAUCCACCACAUUUCCCACAAAGGUUCCAGAAGCAAAAACAAGACAAGCAGUUCAACAAAUUCCUGGAAGUGCUGAAACAAUUACACAUCAAUAUACCUUUCGUGGAAGCUUUGGAGCAAAUGCCAAAUUAUGUGAAAUUUCUAAAAGACAUCUUGGCAAGAAAGAGAAGACUGGGAGAAUUUGAAACUGUUGCUUUAACACAAGAAAGCAGUCAUAUGCUCCAAAGUAAGAUUCCUGCAAAAGUGAAAGAUCCAGGGAGUUUUACAAUACCCUACUCUAUAGGAACUAGGUAUGCUGGCAGAGCACUUUGUGACCUGGGAGCUAGCAUUAAUUUGAUGCCAUUGUCUGUAUUUAAGCAGUUGGGAGUUGGGGAAUGCAGACCAACAACAGUCACUUUGCAAUUAGCUGAUAGAUCUCAUGCAUACCCUGAAGGAAAAAUAGAUGAUGUACUGGUGAAGGUUGACAAAUUCAUCUUCCCAGUGGAUUUCAUUGUACUGGAUUUUGAAGCUGAUAAAGAGGUACCCAUUAUACUGGGAACCUUUUCUAGCAACUGAAAAGACUCUGAUAGAUGUGCAGAAAGGAGAGCUCACCAUGAGAGUAAAUGAUCAGCACGUCACAUUUAAUGUACUAGAAGCUAUGAGGAACCCUGAUGAAGUAGAAGAUUGCAAUUUCCUGAGUGUAGUGGAUUUUGUUAUAGCAAACAGAAUGAACAGAUGCUGCAGUAAUUCAUUUGACAAAGUCACUACCUUUGAUGAUGUAGAAGAGGAAGAUGUUGCAGCAAUUCAGACAGAUUGGAUGGAAGAAAAGCAAUCUGAUAGGCACAAUAGGUUUAUUGAACAUUUGAAUCUUUUAAACAGGGAAGUAAAAACAAUUUUACCAUCUAUUGAAUCACCUCUUAGUCUUGAAUUAAAACUGUUACGUUCACAUUUGAAGUAUGCUUAUCUUGGUCAAAAUAACACAGUCCCUAUAAUCAUCUCUUCUACUUUGGAUGCAGGUCAAGAACAGAGUCUAGUAGAUUUACUUGGAAAAUACAGAAGAGCAAUUGGAUGGACCAUGGCAAACAUAAAAGGGAUAAGCCCAUCAAUAUGCAUGCAUAAAAUCUUGUUAGAAGAUUGCUCCAACAAUUCGGUGGAGCACCAGAGAAGGUUGAACCCCAUCAUGAAAGAAGUAGUGAAGAAGGAAAUCAUCAAAUGGUUGGAUGCUAGAAUCAUAUACCCAAUAUCAGACAGUUCAUGGGUGAGCCCAGUUCAAUGUGUUCCAAAUAAGGGAGGGAUAACAAUAAUAACUAAUGAGAAAAAUGAACUUAUCCUUACAAGGACAGUGACUGGAUGGAGAGUAUGUAUGGAUUACAGGAAGCUCAACAAAGCCACAAGAAAAUACCACUUCCCACUGCCAUUCAUAGACCAGAUGUUGGACAGACUUGCUGGAAAUAAUAUUAUUGUUUCUUAGAUGGGUAUUCAGGCUACAACCAGAUUGCUAUAGCUCCUCAGGAUCAGGAGAAAACUACAUUUACUUGUUCUUAUGGAACAUUUGCCUUCAGAAGAAUGCCCUUUGGGUUAUGCAAUGCUCCAGCAACUUUUCAGAGAUGCAUGAUGUCUAUAUUUUCUGAUAUGGUAGAGUAGACUUUAGAAGUUUUCAUGGAUGACUUCUCAGUCUUUGGAGAAACAUACAAUGAUGGUUUACACAACCUGAAAGAAGUUCUUGAAAGAUGUGAGAUGACCAACUUAGUACUCAAUUGGGAAAAAUGUCAUUUUAUGGUGCAAGAAGGAAUAGUGUUGGGUCACAAGGUAUUCAAGAAUGACAUUGAGGUAGACAAAGCCAAGAUAGAGGUAAUAGAUAAAUUGCCACCUCCAACUUCAGUAAAGGGUAUCAGGAGUUUUUUGGGACAUGCUGGAUUUUACAGAAUAUUCAUUAAGGAUUUUUCCAAGGUGGCUAAACCAUUAUGCUCAUUGCUGGAACAUAAUAAGCCCUUUUACUUUGACAAAGAGUGUCAUCAAGCAUUUGGAGAAUUAAAGAAAGCUCUUAUCACUGCUCCAGUAAUCAUAUCUCCAGACUGGACUUUACCAUUUGAAUUGAUGUGUGAUGCUAGUGACCAUUCUGUGGGAGCAGUAUUAGGGCAAAGAAGGGACAAGGUUUUUCACUCCAUAUACUAUGCAAGCAAAACUCUUACUCAAACUCAAAUCAAUUACACCACUACAGAUAAAGAAUUGCUAGCUGUAGUAUUUGCUUUUGAUAAAUUCAGAGCCUACUUGGUGAGCACUAGAGUGACUGUAUAUACAGACCAUGCAACCAUCAAAUACUUAAUUUCAAAGAAAGAUGUCAAGCCAAGAUUAAUCAGAUGGAUCUUAUUGCUACAAGAAUUUGAUUUGGAAAUUAAAAAUAGAAAGGGGAUUGAGAAUUAAAUAGCAGACCACAUGUCAAUGUUGGAAGCAUACACAAGCACAUUGACAAGGAAAUACAUUACUGAAACUUUUCCUGAUGAACAACUGUUGGUGGUACAGCAAGCACAGAUGUUGCAGCAGUCAGAAUCUCCAUGGUAUGCAGACUUUGCUAACUAUUUAGUAAAUUGGUUGCUACCACCUAAGCUGAAGUUUCAAGAGAAAAAGAAAUUUCUUCAUGAUGUUAGAAGUUACCAAUGGGAUGACCCACAUUUAUAUAAGCUGUGCACAGAUCAAGUAAUACGAAGAUGUGCUGCAGAAGGAGAGAUUCCCCACAUACUGGAGUCAGGUCAUGCUGCAGCAUAUGGAGGACAUUUUGGUGGUCACAGAACAGCUGUUAAAGUACUGCAAUCAGGUUAUUACUGGCCAACUAUUUUUAAAGAUGCUUAUGAAUUUGUUAAAUGUUGUGACAGGUGUCAAAGGACAGGGAACAUAACUAGAAGACAUGAAAUGCCGUUGACCAACAUCCUGGAAGUGGAAAUUUUUGAUGUCUGGGGAAUAGAUUUCCUAGGACCUUUUCCCCCAUCCUUUGGGAACUUAUAUAUCCUUAUUGCUGUGGAUUAUGUCUCCAAGUGGGUAGAAGCUGCAGCUUUUUCUUCAGAAAAAUAUUUUUUCCAGAUUUGGCACUCCUAGAGCAAUUAUUAGUGACGAGGGUACACAUUUUUGCAACAAAAUCUUUGCUGCAGCAAUGGUAAAAUAUGGAGUCAGACACAAGGUAGUUACAGCAUAUCACCCACAAUUCAAUGGUCAGGCUGAAGUUUCCAACAGAGAAAUUAAAAAGAUCUUAGAAAAAGUGGUGAACCCAACAAGGAAGGAUUGGUCUUUACACUUACAUGACUCUCUAUGAGCCUACAGAACAGCAUACAAAACUCCACUCGACAUGUCCCCUUACCGAAUUGUUUAUGGCAAGGCUUGUCAUUUGCCACUAGAGCUAGAGCAUAAAGCACACUGGGCACUAAAGAAAUUAAAUUGGGAUAUUCAUGCUGUAGCAGAGCAAAGGAAGCUUCAACUUUGUGAGCUUGAUGAAUUACGGCUAUUUUCAUAUGAAAAUGCAAGAAUCUAUAAAGAGAGGACAAAACAAUGGCACGACAAGCAUAUUUAGCACAAGAAAUUCAACCCUGGUCAAUUAGUGUUGCUCCACAAUACAAGACUAAGGUUAUUUCCGGGAAAGCUCAAGUCACGAUGGUCUGGCCCAUUUAAGCUGCUCAAAUUUUAUCCUCAUGGAGCUGUUGAUCUUCUAGAUGAACAGACAGGUCAAGAAUUCAAGGUUAAUGGACACAGGGUUAAGCACUACAUACAUCUAGCGGCAGAUUGUUCAAAUGAGGUGUUACUCCUUAAAGAACCCAGCUAUUGAACAAUGAAAGAAGGUCAGGCUGAAAGACCUUAAAUCAAGCGCUCCAUGUGAGGCAACCCAUUGGGGAGACAGCCACUUCAAACCAACUUUGACAUCCUUUGGUUUUGUAGACAGCUCUCCCUCUUUACCAUCUUAUUUAAUUUUGUUUUUCUAUGUUAGCCAUUUACUUUUAUCCUUUUACAUUAUUGCAUUCUUUAUUUUCGCUUUAAUUUGAUCUAUUUAUUUCUUUUAAUAAUUUUAGAAUUAAUUUUAGUUUGUGAGAAGUAUGUGUGACAAUUGAAUUCCAUAUUGACAAGUGAGAGUGGAUGGUGGUAGAAUGCAGAGGUGAGCCACGUGUCAGAAGCUUUAGUGUGGAGUAUGUAUCCGUUGUUAGAGUAAGCAAAUGGGUGCUGCAGCAACUAAUUUUACUGUUACAGUAAAUUAAAAGCUGGAGCUUUUCACUUACCGUGGAGAUAAAAUCGUGACAAAUGGACGCAUGGAUAUGGAUAGAAAUUGCGGAACCAAAUCUCCGAAAUUAAAGCUUUAAUUUCACUGGCCGAUGAUUUUGGGAUAUGCACAUUUAAUUCAAAAUAUUUUAUUCCCUCAAUUAUCUCUAGUUACCGUAUUUAUCUUUAAUUAAAGUCCACUAUAAAAAGGAGUCACUGUGCUUAGUGCUCUACGACAAUAUUACCCAUCUCCUUCGCAAAUACAACUCUCCUAAUUCUUACCCUCUUCUUCUCAUUUUACUCUCAGGAACAUUAACUUCAAUUUGCUACUGCUACAGCAAUGCCGAGGUAUAAGAAAACAGCCAGCUGCCUCAAAGAUCUGUCACGCUUCCAGAGUUACCACGCCGAAGAAAAAUAUGAAGAAUUCAUAGAGCCGCGUAAGAUUCUGGAAGAAAAAAGGUUACAAUUUCCAGACCAACUCACUGGAAUUGUGCAAACAAUUCAUAAUGCUGCAGCAAAGCGAGGAUGGUUAGAGUUUUGCAACCACCCUCGAGAUCAUGUACUACCCGUAGUCAAAGAAUUUUACGCAAUUUGGUAAGUCUUGAUCAGCACAACAUUUGGGUAAGAAAUACACUUGUUCCAUUAGACUCCCGCGUUAUAAAUGCUUUUUAUAAUUUACCUGCUAAAAUUAAUUGUGAGUAUGCCAAGUUGCGUGAUAAAUUAAGCCCGAAAAAGUGGACCACCAUUUUCACAAACGCUUACAAUCGAAGGGGCAUCAUGGGCUAACGAGGAAGGGCGUGUAGUUAAUAGGAUAGAUUUGAAGCCUAUUGCUAAGGUGUGGGUGAAAUUUCUGAAAUAUAGGCUUCUGCCCACCACUCACACUACUACAGUUUCGCAAGAGAGGUUGGUCUUGUUAUAUGUCAUUGUUCGAGGGCUUCCUAUAGAUGUGGGUAGCAUCAUUGCAAAAGAAAUCCGGGAUUGUACAGUCAAGACUCACCGAACGGCUACCUUGCUAUUUCCUUCACUCAUCACUAGCAUUUGUGUAGUUUCUGGUGUUCGUCUUGACGCUAGAGAUGACCAUGUCAAGAGUGAUGGUGCCUUUACGGCACGUACCAUUGAGAGAGUUGCUGGUGAAGUGCUGGAACAACCAUUGAACCAGCUGUUGUAACAGAGCAAGACGAGCUAUUGGCUUAGAACAGACCAUCCAGGCACUCAGCACCAGUAUCACUCAGUGUGCAGAAGCUCAGCAGAGAGAAAAUGAUCGGUUUUGGAGUUAUCUACAGCACCUGGACAACCAACUACACCAAUUUACUCUGUACAUGAAACGCAUUCACCGGAACUUCCCUGAUUCACUGCUCCAGCAGUACAAUUUUGACACCAACACCACAGAUGCUCCAGCAGAAGCCAGUGAAGAAGCCACUGCCACAGAUGAACCAGCAGAUGAAGCUGCAGCUGAACCACAAGCAAAGGUAGACUCAAAAGAUGCUGAUCCAUCUGACCCACCUGAGGAUGAAGGUGACAAGUCUAAGACUGAUAGCUCACCCACGGAGGCAGAGGACAAUUCAGAGAAAGAACGUGAGGAACCAACCAUCCCAACCCAGUCCAAAACCAGGAAACAACACAUCAUUCAAAAAGAGGAGGAGGAAGACCUUGAAGAGGAACUGUCUAUUCUAGUCUUUAUAGGCAAGGGAAAGGACAAGGGUAAAGCAAAAAUGGCCACACCUCCAGCCUCUGAAGAUGAAAUGGAGCAAGUUGAUGCCGAGCUGGCUGCUGCAGCAGCCAGAGUUACGCCUACAACUGAACAAGCCAAGCAACUACUGGCGAUCAUUGCUGCCAUCACAGCUGAGGGCCAGGCAGCUGAUGCAUCAACUCCAAUUCCUCCACAGCAGACUCCUACCCAGCCUGUUCGCACCAGUCCAUGACAAUCCAGCAAAAGAAAAGGCAGUACGUCCAAAGGCACUACUACAACAACCCCAGCCACAACUCCUCUAACCAGCCCCGUGACGAAAAAGACAAAGACAUUGCCAGUUACUUCCCCACAAGCUUCCCCAAAGGAUAAGCUGCGCAGUGCAGCCAAGAAGUGCUGAUUGCAGUCCCCACCACAGGGGAGUUUUCUUUCUUUACUAGUUCAUUUCGUAAAAAAAAAUAUAUAUAUAUCUACCUUCUGUUUGUCAAUUUGUGUGGUAUUUUCUAAGGUCUUCCAUAUCCUUGUCAGUUUGUGUACCUUUGUUAUGUAUGCUUGUGAGGACACAUCAACUCUCAAGUUUGGGGGGGUUGUGUUUCUGAAUGCAUAUGUUUAUGUUUGUAUGCAUGUGUUUAUGUUUGUAUGGUGUGAAGUCUGUUAUCUAAUAUUUGUGUAUGGAUUUGAAAAUGUAAUGAAGAUAAAUUGAGUGCUAUUCAGUAUUUAUAUGCCCAGUAGAGAUAGUUAUAGAUGAAAGUGAAAUUAUAUCCUGACACUUAGACUUUUGUUGAAUUGUAUGAGACUACUAGAGCAAAGCCAAAAGAAUAGAAAAGAUCCUAAAUUUUGGGGGAAGAAGCAAGUUUGAUUAACUGUAAUAUCUAUGAAACAUAAUAUGUUCCAAUGGCUCAAGUUGCUGAGUAACCAGAUUUGAGUAUGUACCCCAUAUGCAGAAUUGUGUUCAAAGGUAGCGAGAGUUAUGAGCAAUGCUGAAGCAUGUUGUUAUAAAAAAAAAACAAAAAAAACAAAAAGAAAAAGAAAUCCUCUGUCUAAGGCAUUGAGUAGCCAGGUCUGUUCAUGAGCCCCAUGUUCAGCCUUGAGUAAAAGAUACCUCUAGAUAAGAUUACAUUACAGAAUCUUGCUACAACAACUCUAAUUUGGGCAUGGUUUGAGUAAUUGGGUGUCAUCAUUACAAUUGAUUGACAUUCACAUGAAAGAUAAAUGUUACAGUGAGGAGGUUGAAUAUUCCCUAGUUUAUCAAUCUUAAAAUCAUCACAGUCUGAGUAUGUAAAAGUUAUGUUACCCCAUUUAUGAAUGAAGUGUUCUUACUACUGAAAUUCAUGCAAUCCCUUGGUGAUGUUACAGCAUCUCUGGAAUUCAAUCGAAGGAACACACACACACUAUGGACAGAAAGAAGCUUAAGUCUAGAGCUAAUUUACUAUGGUCAUUUUGCAUGAUUGGGAUUGUGAUCUGAAGGUGGAAGAAUCCUUGCAAAUUUGAUAAAAGAGCUAAAGUUGUGUGCAUGAUUGUUUGCGGGAAGUGUUAGUAUAUGUCAUUACUUGAGGGCAAGUAAUGGUUUAAGUUUGGGGGUGUGAUAACUCUAGGAAAUGAGAGUUAUUACAUCAAUUCUAGACUUGAAUCAAGACUACUUGAGAACAAAUAAGGUGUUUUUAUUAUAUUUUGGUUACCUUUUGCAUAAACAUUCAUUUUAGUUGAGUCUUAAUAAGUUUUGCUUGAAUCAAAGUAAUUUGUGCUCAAAACAAGUGCAUAAUUGUAGGUUUUAAAGUCAUGAGGGGAUGUUGAGGCAUUAGAAGAGCGAGAGGAGGAAAGAAGAUGGCCACAAAAGCAGUAAAGCACAAUCGGAAAUAAGGCAGUGUUGUAGCUGAUGUUAGAGCAACCAGUGCUGUAGCAAUCUGGGAGCAAUGCGAGAGAAAACUUAGGCACGAGUCAGCCAUAAAAACGCGAUCUGCAUGUUUCCUAAUUUAAAUGCAUGCACGCUCAUGGGCUUUGGUUUACCCUAAUUUGCAAUAUAAAAAGGAGGCGUGCACCAUAUAGAAGGCGGGAAAUGGAUCAUCAUCAGAAUAAUUACAAAGGAAAGAAGAAGAAGAUCAGAUCGAGAGAGUGUUGUUUCAGCAACAUUGAAGACUCAUGCAGAAUUAUUUGUCUUUCAUCGUGCUCAACUUAUAUUUCUCUUCUUCCUUUAAUUGUUUUGAUGUAUUCAUUGAUCAAUAUAUUUAUGUUUACUUUUCUCAUUCAGAGUAUGAACUAAAUUUACUUGUAGUUGAGUGACAAAGAAUCCAAUGGGUUCUUGACUGUUCUUAUAUGUUGUUAUGGCAUUGUUGUAGCAUUAUACUAUAGUAGUUUUUAUGAAUAUAACUGUUAUUUCGGUUGACCACCCAUUUAAUAGUUUCAGUUAAGAUAGAGCAGCAAAAGAGCAUGUCUUAGCGGAUGUUAUUAGAGUAUUACUUGAUCUUAAGUCGAGUUUCCUGGAUUAAGUUAUCUUAAAUCCCAUAAGGGCAAUACUUGAAGUUAAGAUUUGUGACACACUAGACAUAGAUGUUCACCUUGUAGGGUGGAAAGACUAAAGACCAUAAUGUCAUACUAUAAGUAGAUUAGCAAUUGGUCAUUGUUAAUAGAUUUAAGGGUAUGAGACUUCCAAUAUGCGGCAACUGAGGAUGCAGAUAAACUCUGUCUAGUGCUGCAGCACUGGUCGUAACAACUGGUACUAAUUUGAUGAAAAAAUAGUCAACCCCAAAGGAAAAUUUGAUCAUUCAACUACAUUAAUUUCAAUUGAAUCUUGGACACACUUAACCUAGUUAUUUCAUUACGAUAUUGUUUUAUUUAAUUCUUAUCUCAAUCAUUGAUUACAAUAGACAUUACUUGACAAUUGUUUGCUUCGGGUUUAAGUUGAGUUGCGCUAUUGUGAGUGCUGUAGCAUUUCGAGUAACAUUAAUCCAUGUGGAGACGAUCUUGAAUACUUAUCACUUUAUUACUUGUUGUGUAUACUUGCACAUUGGCAUUGAUAGUAAUUGCUUAUAAAAUUUACCAACACAUAUCUAAACCACUUUGUAACCUCUUAUUAAAAGAUGCACCAUUUGAAUGAACUGAUGAUUGCCAAAAAUCUUUUGAGAAAAUAAUUUGACUUUUAACAUCAGCACCCAUUAUGCAAUCUUCUGAUUGGUCUCUUCCUUUUGAAUUAAUGUGUGAUGCAAGUAAUUUUGUUGUUGGUGUUGUUUUUGGACAAAGAAUGGAUGGUAAGUCGUUUGUGAUUUAUUAUGUGAGUAAGACCUUGGAUGGUACCCGAAUGAAUUAUUUGACAACUAAAAAAGAAUUACUUGCAGUGGUGUUUGUAUUAAACAAAUUUCGUUCAUAUUUGCUUGGUUCUAAAACUAUUGUUUUUACUAACCAUGCUGCUAUGAGAUAUUUGAUGACUAAACAGGAUGUCACAACCAAGACUAAUUCGAUGGAUUUUGUUACUACAAGAAUUUGACCUUACCAUCAAAGAUAAAAAAGGUGCCGAAAAUGUCGUUGCUAAUCAUUUAUCAAAACUCACAUUCGAAUUCUGCACUGACGUAACACCCAUCAAUGACUCCUUCCUAGAAGAAUUUUUAUUUUCUGUUACUUUAAUGCUAUGAUAUGCUAACAUUAUUAAUUUCUUUGUUACAGGUAAAAUGCCUUUGCAAUAGAAUACUCAAGAGAAGAAGAAAUUUUUAGUUGAAGUAAAGAAAUUUUAUUAGGAUGAUAUUUCACACAGGUGGUAUUUCACACAUGUGGUAUUUUAUGUAUUUUAUUUAGUCUUUAAUAUGGCAUACCUAGCAAAUGUUAUAUAAUUGUGUUUGAGAAUUUUAUUUUUAAAUGAUUUUAUCUUUUUAUUGAAAAUUUUUUAUUUUAUUUUUAGUGAAUUAUACAGUAAAUUAUUGACAAUUUAACAAAAAAUAUUUCAAAUAAUUGUUCAAAAAAUAAUAAAAUAAAUUAUUAUUUAAAUAAUAAAAAUGAAAUCGAUUAUUGCGUCAAAUGAUAUGGGUUCUCACGGCUAAACUAAUCAAAGUUAAAAAACGUGUCACUCCCAAACGAAUACCUUCGCAUGGAGGUCGCCCGGUGGGGCAACGCGCAAAUUGGAUUAGUGACUGAGAUUCUCGUUGCUCCUUUCCAAAUUAAAAUUUUCAAACGGAUGCUAAAUUGUUGAAUAAGACACCAAAUUCUAUUUCCACCUGUCGUUGUAAUGAUAUUAUAUCUUUGCUGCAUGUGUCACACUCUCACAUCCGUACAAGAAAUAUAAUAAAUAAAUAAUAUGAGAUAACGGAUGGUAAUAAUAUAGCAUGCCACCUCAGGUAUGUACCUCAGAAAUAUAAUUUAAAAAUAAAAAUAUAUAGAAACCCCUUUAAUUUAGGUUAAUUUAAAAUGUAUAAGGAAUAUUUCAAAUUUGAUAAAAGGUUUAAAAUGUAUAAGAAAUAUUAACGUUUAUGUGCAUAUAAAAUUUUUAAAAUUAACAUGAAGUUUCCCUUAGUUAGUAAUUAAUUUUAAACACUUAAAAAUUAACAUGAAAUUUCACUUAAGUAGUAAUUAAAAUUUUAAACGCUUUAUUUGAGAAUAAAAUCAUAAAUUAAAAUUAAUGAAUUGCACUUGAUAGUCUCAACUUACCCGAGCGGUUCGGCAUUCAUUUGAAAUUGUUAAUAUACUAUGGACUUCCUUGUUAUCUCCUAGUUAUGGAAGUGACUAAUGUAGCAUUUAUUUUUUUGUUUGAAAUUUAAAUAAACUUGAAUUAGUCACUAUUUUAAAUAGUGUUGAAUCUAAAUCAUAUUUUUUUUGUUUGAAUUACCAAAAAUAAGUAAUAAUUUAUUCUUUCUUUUAACUUAAAAAUAUGAAAAUCAGUAUUUCUACAUUUGUGCUCAUAGAAAUUAAAAAUGUUAAAUAAAGAAUAAAUAUUUCAAAGAAAAUAAAUAAAAUAAUAUGUUAUCAUAACAUAUGGUUAUUGCGAUCUUAAUAAAAGAUUUACUUUUUCUAUCCGUCGGUGUAGGCCAAUGACCGAACCAUAUUAAUUCUCCGUGUUUUUCUUAUUAUAUAACCUUAGCUAAACUAGUUCUCUAGUUGACCGCAUUUCUACAUCUAACAAUUCUUGUGAUGUAUAGGCAGCUGAAACAAUUUUUUGCGUUUUAAAACCUUUCUGACUGUAUAUCAUCAUUUUUUUUUUACGCACACCAGGAUUUGUGACGGCUAUACGGCCAAUCUCCGAUGCAAUAAAUAAAUAAAUAAUAAACGACGUCUAUUUCCACCGCAUAUGACUAUUACGCCAACAUUAUGGAAGUUCCUCACAAAUUUACGAAAAUGACCCUUUAUCUAAUAUUUUGAUAUUUUGUAAUUCUAUCCUCAUCAACAUUUUUAUAUUAAUUAAAAUUUUUAACGAACAUCAGUUGUAAGGUCCACAUCACAAUGACACAUCGUUAGAUACGUGACUACACGCACUAUGACACAUCAAGAUCACAAUGUUUUUAAUUAAGUUCAGUCUUAUUACAAAUGCACAACUGUCUGUCUACUAAUCUUUUUAUGUUUGGGAGUUAGAGUAAGUGUAGGAUUAGAUUAAUUUUCUAGACAAAAUAUUUAUUCCAUGUUUGACGGGCUCGCUUAAAUUUGAUUAAGAGGAUUAAAUUCAAAUUUAUUUUUACAAUUAUAGGAUUAGUUAUCAUAAUUUUCACAUGGGUUUAAGGAGAAUUAGAGUAAGCAAUGCUUGUCCCUUUAUGACAAUCUGUUUGUUUAUUAAUGAGUUGUUAUCUAUUUAAUUAAUUAUUUAUUUUUAUUCAUGAUUUCUUAAAAAUUAAGUAUUUAUUUUUUAUUCUACCCAUGUCAUCUUUUAUCAUUUAUUUAUUUAAUGUUAAAAGUAAUGCAUUAACAAAAUUACUUUUUAGAAACAUGCCAUUUAUCAUUUGAUUAUUAUACAAAUAUUUUUAAAAUAUUUGAUAAAUAAUUAAUUUUAUAUUUAACUAUUUUAGUUAUAUUUUUUUAAUAGGCAAUAAUAUGCAUCAUAUAUAAAAGCAUAUAAUUUUCAUAAUUUUAGUUGUUCUUGUUAAAAACCAUUUAAUUUCACUUAAAUUUAAUUUAACAUAGUGUAAUUAAAUAUUAUACUAAAUAUAAGAUUGUACUACAUAGAAAAAAACAAUGUAAUCCAAUUCAAUUUAAUCUAAUUGAAUUUUAAGUCUAUUUAAUCAUGCUUACUAAACGUAGCCUAACCUAUAACUAAAUCAUACAGUAUAUGAUUGAUUGAUAAUGAAAGAGUAAUCGCUGGCAGACUUAUGUUGUGGCUUGAGUCCAUUUCUUUGGAAAUAUUACAUCCAAUUUGGCCCUGCCAAUCGACCAGAUAGUUCAAAUUGACAAAAUGUCAAAAUCAAUUCAAUUGCGUGCACGCAGGUGUUGGCUUUCACUUUGAAUUUUUUCAAUUUCUAAUUUUUGGCAAAAGGCUAAACUAAUAAAAAUCAUAAAGCUGGUCAAUCCCACAACCAAACACGAGGUCCAUUCGAGUUUGAUUUACCACUCCUCUACGGAGUUAUUACACGACACUCUUAUUAAGCGUCACUUUGUGGGAUUAGAGGAAAAGGUUAAAGUUUGCUUACAUAAUCAUAAAGACCCCCUUAAUUUUUUAAAUUGUUACAAUCCUUAAUUUUAUAAAUAGUUAGACAAGUCUUUUUUUAACCAUUAUACCCUUGAUUACAACUAUUCAAUAUUCACUUUAAAUAAACUUUUAUUACAACAAUUCAAUAUUCAUUUUAAAUAAACUUUUACAAUAAAUAUAAAUUAAAAUGAAAAAAAAAUGUAAUGUAUAAAUUAAGAUAAAAUGUGUAAAUUAUUUGGAAUAUUAGAAAAGUUAUUUUAACAUCAUUAAUCUGUCAUAUUCUUUUAAUAAUAAAAAAAUCUAUUUGACAUAUUAAUAAUGAUAAAAUAACUAUACCUAAUAUUCAUAGUAAUUUAUAAAUUUUAUAUUAUUCUAUUUACUAUGUCUUUUUUUAAUUAUGUCUAUCAGUAUAAUAAAUUAAAGUCAAUUUUUGGAUUAAUACAUUUUAGUAUUAAUAAAUUCCAUCAGGAUAGACUAAUAACAACUUAAUAUUUAAGAUAAUUCAUUAUAUAGGCAAUUUUAUUAAAUAAACUUAUUGUAAUUUUUUAUUUAUAUCAUAUUAUAUAUUUUUAUUAUUUUUAUCUUAUUAUUGUAUUUAUAUUAAUUCAGAUUGUUAUAAUUAAAGGGUAUAAUAAUCAUUUAUGAAAUUAAGGUGUCUAUCUGACCAUUUAUGAAACGAAAGAGGGUUUAUGUGACCACUUAACAAAACCUUACGGUUGUGGGUGGCCUUUUCCCAUUCGAUUAUGCAGGAAACUAAGAUUCUGGUUACUUCUUUCCAAAUUAUGAAUUUCAAAUUCAAAUGCAUGUUGAAUUGCUGAAUAAGAUAUAAGUAUGGCAAAAUUUCCCGAUAGUAAUACUCUAUAUAGAAUUAAUUUUUAGUUAAUAAUAAAAAAUUUUGAUUUCAGUUUAGACCAGUUAUACAUAAGAAUAAACUUCAUAUUGUAAUAAAUUAUAGCUUUUUAAUCCAAUUUUAAGAGUUUUUAGAUCCCAUUUUAAGAAACUUGCCUCCACAUAGUAAUAAUUAUUAGUGUAGCGUAAAAAUAUAUGUUAUGUUAUAUUAAAGGAACUUACUUCCAGAUAGUACAAUUACACAAUGAGAGAUAAUUAAUGAAGAGAAUGCAAAAAAUUAGAGAUUUUUAAGAUGACUUUAAUAUUCCUAAUAAUAGUGCAUUGAUACAUUGUACUUAUUUUUUGAUAUAUUAAGAUUUGAUAUGCUCCAUUAAUAAAUUAUUAAUGUAUUACAUACUUUACCUCUAUAUUCUUACACUAAGGAUAAAUAAGUUAAAACAAUAAUUUUCGUAACUACUCAUCUAUUAAGUAAUAAUUUCUUCAUUGCAAUUAACUAAUUUGGUCCUAAUAUUAUAAGUAUAGAGAGAUAUUGCUAUAUUGAGAUUGAUUGAUAGAGCACACCAGCCUUGAAUUUCGUUAAUGUCCCUAUAUGGUACCAUUUCACACACAUCAAUAAUUUUACAUUGUAAAAAUACGGAGCCAUUAAUCAUGUAAAGAUUGUCAAUUCCCCCCCCCCCCCCCCUCCCGCCCGCCAGACCAUUAUUGGCCAUCUAUUUUGUUAUUUUAUUAUUGUUUUUAUAAUAACCUCUAAGCCAAUUUUUUAAAGGAAAUUGGUGGGCUCAAAAUUCAAAUAGCCCCACCAUUAUUAAAUUAACUUAAAAUCGUUUCCGUAGAAAGUAGGGUAUUAUUGAAAUUGAUUAUGCGAAAGAUAUUUUACGUGGCCCGCGAUCAAAUAGAUGUAAAUAAAGUUAACGUUAUUGCAAGAGUGAAUUGGCAUUGUUCAUAAAAAUUACAAUUCAUUAUAAGAGGAUUGCCAAUUGCUCUCCUACAGUAAUCAACAUAUACCAUUUUCUCCUCUAUUAUUUUUAUAAUGGCCAAAACCCCCCUGAUAGAAUAAAUUUACGAUAUUACCCUUAUUUUCAACUACUUUUUAUUUAUAUUUAUUAUAAAUUAAAUAAAUGACAUGAAUAGAAACUAAAUAAAAAAUUAAGCAUUAAAGAUAAGAAAUAUAUGUUUUGAUAUGAGAAAAAAAUUAAUAAUAAAUUUUUUUUCUUGUACUUAUUUAUUUUGUGAAAUUUUUCUUAUAAUAAAUAUAUAAGAAAGUUAUUAUAAAAUGAUAAAAAAUUUAUUAUAAGAAAAUUUGAAUGACAAAUAAAAAUUUAUUAUAAGAUAAAUAAUAAAAUAUUUUGCCUAUACUUUUUACAUUUAAUUUUAAAAUAUUACAAAAUAUUUAUUAUAAGAAAAUAUUCACAAAAUAAAUAAUUACAAGAAAAAAAAAUUUACUAUUAAUUUUUGUGCUCAUAUCAAAACAUAUAUUUCUUAUUUUUAAUACUUAAUUUUUUUAUUUAGUUUCUAUUCAUGUAAUUUAUUUAAUUUAUAAUAAAUGUAAAUAAAAGAAUAAUUAAAAAUAAGGGUAAUAUUGUAAACUUAUGCUAUCAUGGGGGUUUUUUACCAUUAUAAAAACAGCAAGGGGUAAAUAAUAUAUGUUAAUUACUAUAGGGGGGAAAGUGGCAAUCCCCGUCAUUAUAAAUAGUAAUGCCAUUGAUAACAUUCUUUCACAUUUUCUUUAUUACUGCAUAUAGCAAUGAAACCGAACAUGAGCGGUGUCCUUGUUUUUGCCUUAUUUCUCUUUGAAAUACUUGCCAUAGCAACCAUUAGCAUUAGCUUCUGCAACGGAAGUUCUUAUCACGGGGGUUGCCUUGAAAGUGAGAGAGGAGCACUUUUAAGGCUCAAGCGAGAUCUUAAAGACCCUUCUAACAGGCUUGCUUCUUGGACUGGCAGCGGAGAUUGUUGUGCAUGGACUGGUGUUGUCUGUGACAACAUGACUGGCCAUGUGCUUCACCUCGACCUUCGAAAUCCUUUCAAUUAUUCCAAGGAGUCUGAAUAUGACGCUAUUCGGGGGACAGCGCUUGUUGGUAAGAUAAAUCCUUCUUUGCUUGAUUUAAAGCAUUUGAGUUACCUGGACUUGAGCUUCAAUGAUUUCCAAGGUGAUCGAAUUCCUAGAUUUGUUGGCUCCAUGGGAAAUCUACGGUAUCUCAAUUUUUCUGGAACUCGAAUCGGCGGAAUGAUACCUCAACAACUUGGAAAUCUCUCCAAUCUGCAGUUUCUUGACCUUAGUUCAAAUUAUUUAUUAUACGUUGACAAUUUUUUGUGGCUUUCUGGUCUUUCUGUCCUGGAACACCUCGAUUUGCGUUCUGUGAAUCUUAGCAAAGCCUUUGAUUGGCUGAUGGUAGCAAACAAACUCCCUUCUUUGGUAGAAUUAAGAUUGUCAAAUUGCCAACUCCAACACUUCUCUCCAUUAGCCACCGCAAAUUUUUCGUCUCUCACAGUGCUUGACCUUUCCCACAACCAAUUUGAUAACUCGUUCAUUCCUAGUUGGGUCUUUGGUCUAAGUCAUUUGCUCUUUCUUGACCUAGGUUUUAAUAAUUUUCAAGGUCCAAUUCUUGGGGGACUUCAAAACCUGACUUCCCUUAAACAUCUGGGUUUAGAUUCCAACUACUUCAACUCUUCAAUUCCCAACUGGUUGUAUAGAUUCAUCCAUCUUGAGUACCUUAGUCUUCGCAACAAUAAAUUGCAAGGUACAAUUGACUCAGAGGCUCUUGGAAACUUGACUUCCAUCAGUCGGCUCGAUCUCUCAUUAAAUACUGGUCUUGCAGGGAGAAUUCCAAGAUCCAUGGCAAGACUUUGUAAUUUAAAGUCAAUCAAUCUUCGGGGUGUCCAUGUGAGCCAAGAAAUUUCUGAGAUUUUAGAUAUUUUCUCGGGAUGUGUUUCUAAUGGACUAGAGAGUUUAGAUAUGCGGAGUAGUUCAAUAUAUGGUCAUUUGACUGAUCAGCUUGGCCAAUUUAGAAAUCUCGUCACUCUUAAUCUUGCUAAUAAUUCAAUUGUUGGUCCUAUUCCAGAGUCAUUUGGUCAACUCUCAACCUUGAGAGAACUACAGAUAUAUGAUAAUAAGUUAAACGGAACAAUUUCUGAACUUCACUUUGCCAAUCUGACAGCACUGUCAUGGUUCAGAGUCGGUGGAAACCAAUUGACGUUGGAAGUGAAGCAUGAUUGGAUCCCUCCUUUCCAACUUGUUGCAUUAGGAUUGCAUAGUUGUUAUAUAGGGUCUCGAUUUCCUCUAUGGCUUAAUUCACAAAGGCAUUUACAGUUUCUAGAUUUAGUCAACUCAAGAAUUUCAGAUAUUUUUCCCAUUAGAUUUUUGAAAUCUGCUUCCCAAUUAAAGAUUUUAGAUCUCGAACAAAACCAAAUUCACGGGGAGAUGCCAAAUCUAACCGAGUUUACUCAACUUUUGUUUCUUUCCAUGGAUUCGAAUAAUAUGUCUGGUCCAUUACCCCUCAUAUCAUCCAAUCUCGUUUACCUUGGCCUUUCAUAUAACUCAUUCUCCGGGUCAAUUUCUCAUUUCUUGUGUGACAAAAUCAACGAGACAAAGAGAUUAGAAGCUCUUAAGCUGAAUGAUAAUUAUUUACAAGGAGAAUUACCUGAUUGUUGGAUGAGUUAUCAAAAUUUGAAGAUACUUAAACUAAGUAACAACAAAUUCACUGGUAAUCUUCCAAACUCAUUUGGUAGUUUAGCUUCUCUUGUUUGGUUGGAUCUUGGUAAAAACAGACUGUCUGGGACAAUACCUGUUUCUCUUAAAAAUUGUACAGCAUUAGAGUCACUUGAUGUUGGUGAAAACGAGUUUGUUGGCAAUAUUCCAGCAUGGUUUGGAGAAAGAUUUUCAAGAUUGGUUGUUCUCAACCUUCGUUCCAAUAAGUUUCAUGGCCCUUUACCCACUAGAUUUUGUGAUCUAGCUAUUCUUCAAAUCUUAGACAUCGCGGACAACAAUCUCUCCGGAGCCAUACCAAAUUGCAUUAAUAAUCUCACUGGCAUGGUGACAGCGAACUCUUUUUCACGCAGUGCUCAGCAACAUCUACCUGUUCCUCUGGACGUGGAUGUGAUUCUUACGGAGAAGGCAUCAGUUGUGAGCAGAGGGGAAGUGGUUGAAUAUGAUGAGAUUCUUAAUUUGGUAACGGUGACGGCUGUUUCCAGGAAUGAUUUACCGAAAAAUGUUCCUUUGGAAGUGAGAAAUCUUAAAGCAACGCAGUCAUUAAAUUUUUCGCACAACACUUUCACAGGAAGAAUUCCUGAAAGUAUUGGUGUUAUGAGAUCAUUGGAGUCUGUUGAUUUUUCUGUGAACCAACUUUCGGGUGAAAUUCCACAGAGCAUGUCAAAUUUGAUGUCCUUGAAUUAUUUGAACUUGUCCAACAACAAGUUGACUGGGAAAAUUCCUUCAAGCACUCAACUCCAGGGCUUCGAUGCAUCUAGUUUCGCUGGCAAUGAUCUCUGUGGAGCUCCUCUUCCAAAGAAUUGUACUGAGAAUGUUUCAAAUUCAGAAGAUGAAAAUGGAGAUGAAGACGAAGAUGAAUUGGACCAUUGGUUUUAUGUAAGCAUUGCACUUGGCUUUGUGGUGGGAAUUUGGUGUUUUAUAGGCCCUUUGAUUUUCAAUAGAAGAUGGAGGUACAAAUAUUGUCAUUUCCUAAAUCGCCUUGAGAGGAGAGUUGUUUGUGUUGUAAGAAAACGUGGCUAGAUUUUCUCUGUUUUUGAGUUGUUCUGCUUCUUCAUGUACUGUGCUCACUGAAAGGAAUAGAAUAU